GGAAGCACUGAAAAGGACCUGGAUGGA
rnacentral:piRNA from 1 species